GUGGGGAAUCUUGCGCAAUGGGCGAAAGCCUGACGCAGCGACGCCGCGUGAGCGAUGAAGGCCUUCGGGUUGUAAAGCUCUGUGGGGAGAGAAGAAUAAGGGUUGGCUAACAUCCAACCUGAUGACGGUAUCUCCUUAGCAAGCACCGGCUAACUCUGUGCCAGCAGCCGCGGUAAGACAGAGGGUGCAAACGUUGUUCGGAAUCACUGGGCGUAAAGCGCGUGUAGGCUGUUUGGCAAGUCGGAUGUGAAAUCCCACGGCUCAACCAUGGAAGUGCAUUCGAAACUGCCAAACUAGAGUUCUGGAGAGGAAGGCGGAAUACUCGGUGUAGAGGUGAAAUUCGUAGAUAUCGAGUGGAACACCGGUGGCGAAGGCGGCCUUCUGGACAGUGACUGACGCUGAAACGCGAAAGCGUGGGGAGCAAACAGGAUUAGAUACCCGGGUAGUCC
rnacentral:rRNA from 1 species